AUUGAACGCUGGCGGCAGGCCUAACACAUGCAAGUCGAGCGGAGCGGCGGACGGGUGCGUGAUGCCUAGGAAUCUGCUUGGUAGUGGGGGAUAACGUCCGGAAACGGGCGCUAAUAGCGCAUACUAUCAGAUGAGCCUAGGUCGGAUUAGCUAGUUGUUUGGGUAAAGGCCUACCAAGGCGACGAUCCGUAACUGGUCUGAGAGGAUGAUCAGUCAUACUGAAACUGCGACCCGCUGCUGACUCGUACGGGUGGCAGCAGUGGGGAAUAUGGGACAAUGGGCGAAAGCCUGAGCCGUCCAUGCCGGGUGUGUGAAGUAGGUCUUCGGAUCGUAAAGCACUUUUAGUUGGGGGGCGUUUCCGACAGAAUAAGCACCGGCUAACUUCGUGCCAGCAGCCGCGGUAAUUC
rnacentral:rRNA from 1 species